GAUGAACGCUGGCGGCGUGCCUAAUACAUGCAAGUCGAGCGAACGGACGAGAAGCUUGCUUCUCUGAUGUUAGCGGCGGACGGGUGAGUAACACGUGGAUAACCUACCUAUAAGACUGGGAUAACUUCGGGAAACCGGAGCUAAUACCGGAUAAUAUUUUGAACCGCAUGGUUCAAAAGUGAAAGACGGUCUUGCUGUCACUUAUAGAUGGAUCCGCGCUGCAUUAGCUAGUUGGUAAGGUAACGGCUUACCAAGGCAACGAUGCAUAGCCGACCUGAGUGGGUGAUCGGCCACACUGGAACUGAGACACGGUCCAGACUCCUACAGGAGGCAGCAGUAGGGAAUCUUCCGCAAUGGGCGAAAGCCUGACGGAGCAACGCCGCGUGAGUGAUGAAGGUCUUCGGAUCGUAAAACUCUGUUAUUAGGGAAGAACAUAUGUGUAAGUAACUGUGCACAUCUUGACGGUACCUAAUCAGAAAGCCACGGCUAACUACGUG
rnacentral:rRNA from 1 species